CCUUCUUCUUCCCUCUUUCUCCUUCUUUCCUUUUCUUCCCUUUCUUUCCUUCUUUUUUCUCCUUUCUUUUUUCCCUCUCCCACUCUUCACCGGGCGAUUACAAUGAAGACUGGUCAGCUAGAGGACGGUAGAGGGGUGUGGAAUUCCGGGUGUAGUGGUGAAAUGCGUAGAGAUCCGGAGGAACACCAGAGGCGAAGGCGACACCCUGGGCCGUACCUGACGCUAAGACGCGACAGCACGGGGAGCGAACGG
rnacentral:rRNA from 1 species